GGAUUGUGGCUCAGUGGUAGAGCACUCUCCUAGCACGUGCGGGACCGGGUUCGAUUCUCAGCACCA
rnacentral:tRNA from 1 species